AUUGAACGCUGGCGGCAGGCCUAACACAUGCAAGUCGAGAGAGAGGCGGGCGGGUGAGUAAUGUCUGGGAAACUGCCUGAUGGAGGGGGAUAACUACUGGAAACGGUAGCUAAUACCGCAUCCCAUCAGAUGUGCCCCGAUGGGAUUGGCUAGUAGGUGGGGUAAUGGCUCCACUAGGGGACGAUCCCUAGCUGGUCUGAGAGGAUGACCAGCCACACUGGAACUGAUGGACUGUCCAGACUCCUACGGGAGGCAGCAGUGGGGAAUAUUGCACAAUGGGCGCAAGCCUGAUGCAGCCAUGCCGCGUGUAUGAAGAAGGCCUUCGGGUUGUAAUGUACUUUCAGCGGGGAUGCGUUACCCGCAGAAGAAGCACCGGCUAACUCCGAGCCAGCAGCCGCGGUAAUAC
rnacentral:rRNA from 1 species